rnacentral:rRNA from 1 species
UACGUAGGGUGCGAGCGUUGUCCGGAAUUAUUGGGCGUAAAGAGCUUGUAGGCGGUCUGUCGCGUCUGCUGUGAAAAUCCGGGGCUCAACCCCGGACUUGCAGUGGGUACGGGCAGACUAGAGUGUGGCAGGGGAGACUGGAAUUCCUGGUGUAGCGGUGAAAUGCGCAGAUAUCAGGAGGAACACCGAUGGCGAAGGCAGGUCUCUGGGCCACUACUGACGCUGAGAAGCGAAAGCAUGGGGAGCGAACAGG